CAGAAGCUUGUGUUCUAAUGAUAAGAGGCAGAAGUAAUGAGGAUUUUAAAAGUAUCACUACAACUUUCAUCAACCAGUCAUCAACAUUGAAACCGUAAGCAUUGCCCUCCGUUCCUGUUUCGUCAAUCUGUUUCCCUGGUAUGACUCUAAUGUAUGAGACCUCCAAGGUUCAACUGUUUGUGGAUGGGAAGAGAAAAAGCAGAUUUUUGUCUGCUCCCAGUGUUCUCUGAAAUAUGUGACAAGCCCUGCAGGAGAUAACAUUUUGGAUGCCAAACUCUCAUUACCACAUUAAUUGCCUCUGUCAUGACAGUUUGGGCCGGAGCAAAUGGCUGGGAACCUGCUGUGCUCCUCAAGAGAGCAACACAGGCCAAGGGAAAGUGGGUCUGAAGUUUCCCAAGCAGUCGGCUGAAAGGUGCUGUUAUCAGAGCAUAGUCUGGAUUUGUCUUUACGUCUUGAGUCACUGUUAAAUUGGUGGGGGAGUGGCUCUCAAAAAUCUUUGUUCCUAAAACUUAUGAAAGAUAUUCAUGUAAACAAGUAAAAAUCGGGUUAAAUUCUGUUUUAUCAGCAGGACAUUUUCACCAUAAGUGAUUGUCCAAUUGACUGUCAAAGCAACAAAAGGUGAAGGAGGUGAGUGUAUAGUCUAAAGAUAAAAGCUCCAAAUGGGCUUUCAGUGUCCCUUCAUCUCCAAGCUGAAUGAACAGGAUGUAAUCACAGCAGCGCAUGAGAGGGCAAUUUGAACAGAGUGGAUACUAAGUAACAUUUGAAGUCAAAGCAAAAUCAAAAGAAAAUUCUCUUAAUACUCCCUCCUCCCAAUAUAAUUAACGUUAAAGUAUUCUUUUUAAUUAACAUAAUUAGAGGCUUAAUUAUUGAAAGUCGGGUUAAAGAUGAAAAGUAUCAUAUAAUUAAAAUAAUUAUUUUUCUUUAACCUCCAAAGGAAAACAAAGCAGUUUUUCUCUCAUAGUCAUUUAAACUUCAGUAAUAUUUCUUAUAUAAAAGUAGUUAUAAGAUUUAAUACAGACAUUGGUAAAGGAGUGGGGUGAAUAGAGUUUGUGAAGACUCUUACUGUACACAACGAGAAGAUGUUUUUAAUCUCUCUUUGGUCACAAAGGAGUUCAAUAAUUUAGGUUUUAAUGAUAGUACUAUUGUCAUGCACAGAACAUGUCAAAAUAAAUUGGUACAAUCUUUUCAUAAAGAGAUUUAAAAAUAAAGGUUCUAAAAAAUUCAAAAUACAGAAUAAAAACUAUGAACAUACAUGCAUCACAGCCUUACUCGUAAUAUAGAAAUUCUGGUAAAAAAUAUUGCACAUUAUUGGAAUAAAGACUAUGCUACUGUAAUAACAAUGCCCUAAAUACAGCUUGGAUAAGAGAGAAGUUUAUUCAUGUCUUACACAAGAGUCUGGUUAAUAACUUAGACAAUUUUGUUCAUAAGAACAGAAAGUACUGUUCUUAAUAGACAGUUAUGUUCUAUAAGAUUCAGAAACUUAGGUUGUUUUAAUUUUCCUCCUCUGCUGCCUCCAUGUGUAAUUUCUCUCUCUAGAUAGUCAAAGCUGGGUCACUACCACCUCUGGCAUUCAGCCUGAGGAAAGAGGAAGGAGCAUGAGCAAAGAUUGCUUUUAAGAUGCAGGUUUGGGCUGGUCGCAGUGGCUCACACCUGUAAUCCCAGCACUUUGGGAGGCCAAGGUGGGUGGAUCACCUGAGGUCAGGAGUUCGAGACCAGCCUGGCCAACAUGGUGAAACCCCAUCUCUACUAAAAAUACAAAAAUUAGCCGGGCGUGGUGGCACAUGCCUGUAAUUACAGCUACUCGGGAGGCUGAGGCAUGAGACUUGCUUGAACCCAGGAGGCGGAGCUUGCAGUGAGUCGAGAACGUGCCACUGCACUUCAGCAUGAGUGACAGAGCGAGACUGUCUCAAAAAAAGAAGAAAAAAAAAAAGAUGCAGAUUUGAAGGUGCAUACAUCAUUGUGUCCUUGGCAAAAUUUAGUCCCCUAGAUAUUGGCAGCUAUAAGGGAAUCUGGGAAAUGUAGUCUUUUGAGUGAGUAGCCAUGUCCUCAUGUAAAACCUGGUUGUGCCUUCACUCCUAUACUAAAAGCAAGAAAGGGUAAAUAUACCGACGAUAGGUGUCAAUGUCAUCGAGUCUAACAAUAGAGAGGUAUAGAGGCAUGUCGAUAUAUUUUGAAGUAUCUUUUUUGAUGGAAUAGUGUAACAUCAGUGAUAUGGUUUGGCUGUUUUCUCACCCAAAUCUCACAUCAAAUUGUAAUCCUCACAAUCCCCACAUGUCAAGGGCAUGACCAGGUAGAGGUAAUCGGAUCAUGGGGGCAGUUUCCCUUAUGCAGUUCUCUCAUGAUAGUGAUUGAGUUCUCAUGAAAUCUGAUGGUUUUCUAAGUGUGUGGUAGUUCCUCCUGCAUUCACUCCUCCUUCCUGCCGCCUUGUGAAGAAGGUGCCUUGCUUCCCCUUUGCCUUCUACCAAGACUGUAACUUUCCUGAGGCCUCCCCAGCCAUGCUUAACUAUGAGUCAAUUAAACCCCUUUCCUUUAUAAAUUACCCAGUCUUGGGCAGUUCUUUAUAGCAGUAUGGACUAAUACAAUCAGUGAUCAAUUUUACCAAAAAUUUGCAACACAAAAAACAUGUCAUUCUUCUAAUACACACACACACACACACACACACACACACAUCUAUAUGACCAUGCACAUAUAUCUAUAUGAACACACGUGCAUAUGCAUAUCUCUCUGUGAUGAUUAAUCUUAUGUGUCAACUUGGCUAGGCCAUUGUACCAAGAUAGUUUGGCAAAUACUACUCUGAUAUUGCUGUGAAAGUUUUCUUUUUAGAAAUUAAAAUUUAAAUCAUUAGACUGACUAAAGAUAAUUAUCCUCCAUAAAAUGGGUGGGUCUCAUUCAAUCUCUUAAAAGAAAAGAAACUAAUGUCUUCCAACCUAGAGGGAAUUCUGCCUCAGACUGUUCUCUGACUCAAGCUACUAUACCUGUCUUUUCCUGGUUUUCCAACCUGCCUGCCUACCCUGCAGACUUUGGACUUGCCAGCCUCAAAAACUGUAUGAGCCAAUUUCUUAAAAUAAAUUCGACCUCUAUCUCUGUCUCUUUCUAGUGUGUGUGUGUGUGUGUGUGUGUGUAUACACAUAUUCUACUAGUUCUGUUUCUCUGGAAAACCCUAAUACACUAUACACACAUAUAAAUUAUAUAUUAAAUAUUAUAAUAUAGCCUAAGAAAUUUUAAAGAAAGCACAGUCCUAAUUUUAGAAUAUUGAAGUUGAUAUAUAUUAAUCAGAUAUCUUUGUAGAUUAUGUUGUUAACAUUUUAUGUAUUUGGGCUUAACAGGUCUCAAUUUAUUCUGAAUUUAGAGAUUUACUAAAGCCUCAUUAAAAAUUUUUUUUCCUCUAUCUCCUGCAUUUUUUGUGUAACCAAAUUACAGCUAGGCUAUGUGAUACAUAGAUUUUUUCAUAAUUGUUAUCUUCAUUGUAUAUUAUAAAUUACAGUUAUUUGUCUGUUUUAUUGUUUUUAGCUGAAAGCAUGUACUUGGAAUAACUUU
rnacentral:lncRNA from 10 species